GAUGAACGCUAGCUGCAGGCUUAACACAUGCAAGUCGAGGGACCGGCGCACGGGUGAGUAACACGUAUCCAACCUGCGCUUUACUAGGGGAAAGGCUUUCGAAAGCAAGAUUAAUACCAGAUAAAAAGGCGGGGGGUGCGUUCCAUGAGGUUGUGGGUGAGGUAACGGCUCACCAAGCCGUCGAUGGAGAGGGGUUCGGAGAGGCAGGCACCCCACAUGGGAACGACGAUACGGUCUCAACUCCUACGGGAGGCAGCGGUGAGGAGUAUUAGGCAAUGGGCGCUAGCCUGAACCAGCCAAGUAGCGGAAAGGAUGAAGGCUUAUGGGUCGUAAACUGCCGUUAUAUAAGAAUCGGUAUUAGAGGAAUAAGGAUCGGCUAACUCCGUGCCAGCAGCCGCGGUAAUUC
rnacentral:rRNA from 1 species